rnacentral:misc_RNA from 1 species
GUCCUGCAGUGCUUCCCAAACAAACAUCCAAAAACUUCUAGGAGGUUUUUCAGUAUAACGGUUGCACCCAUAAAUCUUUUGCCUGGUAGGUAUACUGCUUUCAUGGAUGCCAUUUUUCAGCGAGACAGAAAGUUGUCGUGCAAUCCCUUCAACUCCGCCAUUGGCUCUCAAAGCCUUAAUAUCAUGGUCACGAGCAACAGAUGCAAGUUUAUCAGGUUCAAUUCCAAAACCUGCUUGUCUGACGUCAUCUGAAAGCUUGUGUUCAGCUGGCAAACCACCGGCUGCAGCAACUGCUAUAGCAGCAUCAAUGAACUGCAGAGCUGCUUUGUUGACAUACAAAGCAACUCGAAUCUUUUCCUGGAUGCUCCGUUUUUUCUUCUCGGCC